UACGAAGGGGGCUAGCGUUGUUCGGAAUUACUGGGCGUAAAGCGCUCGUAGGCGGAUUUUUAAGUCAGGGGUGAAAUCCCAGAGCUCAACUCUGGAACUGCCUUUGAUACUGGGUAUCUCGAGUAUGGAAGAGGUGAGUGGAAUUCCGAGUGUAGAGGUGAAAUUCGUAGAUAUUCGGAAGAACACCAGUGGCGAAGGCGACUCACUGGACAUGUAUUGACGCUGAGGUGCGAAAGCGUGGGGAGCAAACAGG
rnacentral:rRNA from 1 species